rnacentral:rRNA from 1 species
GAUGAACGCUGGCGGCGUGCCUAAUACAUGCAAGUCGAGCGAACAGACGAGGAGCUUGCUCCUCUGACGUUAGCGGCGGACGGGUGAGUAACACGUGGAUAACCUACCUAUAAGACUGGGAUAACUUCGGGAAACCGGAGCUAAUACCGGAUAAUAUAUUGAACCGCAUGGUUCAAUAGUGAAAGACGGUUUUGCUGUCACUUAUAGAUGGAUCCGCGCCGCAUUAGCUAGUUGGUAAGGUAACGGCUUACCAAGGCAACGAUGCGUAGCCGACCUGAGAGGGUGAUCGGCCACACUAGAACUGAGACACGGUCCAGACUCCUACGGGAGGCAGCAGUAGGGAAUCUUCCGCAAUGGGCGAAAGCUUGACGGAGCAACGCCGCGUGAGUGAUGAAGGUCUUCGGAUCGUAAAGCUCUGUUAUUAGGGAAGAACAAAUGUGUAAGUAACUAUGCACGUCUUGACGGUACCUAAUCAGAAAGCCACGGCUAACUACGUG